AUCUCCCCAGAGGCAUAGCUCACGUCCGAUCUUCCUGGAUCUCGGCCGGCCACAGCCAAGCAUCGCAGUCCCCACCGGCCGUUACCUGUCCGUGGCGGCGCACGGCCGAGGCCCUCACCUGUGCGGGCGCCUCUCAGUGGCUCCCUCUCCUCCGGGCCGUGGAGAUCCGGGCCCCAAGGCUCUACCGCGCGCUCCAUCGCCGGCACGCCGCCCUGAGCAAGGGGACAGACAGCAUCCCGCGGUCACACAUCCAUGUGUGGCCCGCGGCGCCCUGCCGCUGCCCUCUGCCGGCCAGCGCGGGCACCGGGCGGCGUCGGGUCCCAGAGAUGGUAGAGGGGCACGUCCCUCUGUUGCCCAGGCUGGUCUCGAGUUCCUUGGCUCAAGCUGUCCUCCCUCCUCCGCCUCCCAAAGUGCUGAGAUUACAGGCGUGAGCCACCUUGCCCGUCCUGGGAACUGUUUUUUAAUCAGCUCAUCAAAACCUUCAUCUCCCCUGGUAACAAAGGUAGCCGCUUCCUUCCUCUCUGCACAUACCCCAGGUCUCACCACGAUGAUGGAGCUACAGUGGGACUUGGAAUCCAGAUGUGUGA
rnacentral:sRNA from 1 species